rnacentral:SRP_RNA from 1 species
UCGUGCUAGACGGGGAGGUAGCGGUGCCCUGUACCUGCAAUCCGCUAUAGCAGGGUUGAAUUCCUUCUCAAGGCUUGUUUUUGUGAGGUCUGGCCUGUGUAAGUGGCAAUGAUGACUGGGUCCUACGCAACGUGACCCUAUGAACCCCGUCAGGUUCGGAAGAAAGCAGCGGUAAGUAGGCCCUUACGUGUGCCGUGGGGUUGCCUAGUCUGAGUUAACUGUACUGGUUCGCUUAUAAAAGCAAUGUCGAUAGAGGGUGCACGA